UAUGAUGAAAGGAAAAAGAAUGCCA
rnacentral:piRNA from 1 species